rnacentral:rRNA from 1 species
UACGUAGGGCGCGAGCGUUGUCCGGAAUUAUUGGGCGUAAAGAGCUUGUAGGCGGUUUGUCGCGUCUGCUGUGAAAAUCCGGGGCUCAACCCCGGACUUGCAGUGGGUACGGGCAGACUAGAGUGUGGUAGGGGAGACUGGAAUUCCUGGUGUAGCGGUGAAAUGCGCAGAUAUCAGGAGGAACACCGAUGGCGAAGGCAGGUCUCUGGGCCACUACUGACGCUGAGAAGCGAAAGCAUGGGGAGCGAACAGG